rnacentral:rRNA from 1 species
GUCUUUUUGAAUUUAAUUUAAAGUCUAACCUGCCCACUGAAAUUUUUAAAUGGCCGCAGUAUACUAACUGUGCAAAGGUAGCAUAAUCAUUAGUCUUUUAAUUGAAGGCUGGUAUGAAUGGUUGGACGAAAUAUUAACUGUUUCAUAAAUAUUUAUAUUAGAAUUUUAUUUUUUAGUUAAAAAGCUAAAAUUUAUUUAAAAGACGAGAAGACCCUAUAAAUCUUUAUAUUUAAAUUAUUAUAAUUUUGUAGAAUUUUUUUAUUUUAAUAAUUAAUAAUAUUUUAUUGGGGUGAUAUUAAAAUUUAAUAAACUUUUAAUUUUUUUUAUCAUUAAUUAAUGAAUAAUUGAUCCGUUAUUAACGAUUAAAAAUUUAAGUUACUUUAGGGAUAACAGCGUAAUUUUUUUGGAGAGUUCAUAUCGAUAAAAAAGAUUGCGACCUCGAUGUUGGAUUAAGAUAUAAUUUUAGGUGUAGCCGCUUAAAUUUUAAGUCUGUUCGACUUUUAAAUUCUUACGUG